GUGGGUAUAGUUUGGUGGUAGAGCACAUGCUUAGUAGGCGUGAGGUCCUGGGUUCAAUCCCCAGUAUCACCA
rnacentral:tRNA from 1 species